rnacentral:lncRNA from 1 species
AGCAAAAUCACAAAGGCAGGUAGUCAUGGGGGAUACACAGGCUUUACUAAACAAGCUUGAAUGGAUAGAUGCCUUUCAGCCUCCCUCCUUUCCCCUUCCUGGGCCUCAUCAAUGCAUGAAAUGGUGAGGCAGAGAGAAAUUGAGUCAAGGGACUGCCAGGCCCCCAGGAACUAACAAUCUUGUGAGGAAGACAGAAACAGUCACAAUUCUAUGUAACAGAUGUUGCAUGUUGUACCAGGGUCAGUGCUAUAACAGAGGAAAGGAUGGAAAAUGAGAUAAAACAGCACAAAAGUUCUGUGGGGGUUUGGAGUGUGUGUAGGUGGGUGGAGAAGGAAGAGAUAAAGCAAGUGGCUCAGACUUUGGAGGGACUGGAGGAGCUCAAAGGAAAAAGGGAGGAAGAACCGUUAACAGCCAUGAAAAAUUUCCUGGAGGUGAGAGGACUUAAGUCUUGAAUGAUAUUGACUUUGAUAAUGUGAAUGGCAGACACAAAGAUAUUUUAAGUUCCAAGUAACAGAAAAUGCAAGUCAAGCAUGGGACAUUGGCUUAUGUAAUGGAAAAGUUUAAAAGUAUGUGGAUUUUAGGCACAGUUUCAUC